rnacentral:rRNA from 1 species
UACGUAGGAUGCGAGCGUUAUCCGGAAUUACUGGGUGUAAGGGGAGCGUAGACGGUAAUGUAAGUCUGGAGUGAAAGGCGGGGGCCCAACCCCCGGACUGCUCUGGAAACUAUGUUACUAGAGUGCAGGAGAGGUAAGCGGAAUUCCUAGUGUAGCGGUGAAAUGCGUAGAUAUUAGGAGGAACACCAGUGGCGAAGGCGGCUUACUGGACUGUAACUGACGUUGAGGCUCGAAAGCGUGGGGAGCAAACAGG